UACGGGGGGGGCAAGCGUUGUUCGGAAUUACUGGGCGUAAAGGGCGCGUAGGCGGCAUGACAAGUCACUUGUGAAAUCUCCGGGCUUAACUCGGAACGGCCAAGUGAUACUGUCAAGCUAGAGUGCAGAAAGGGCAAUCGGAAUUCUUGGUGUAGCGGUGAAAUGCGUAGAUAUCAAGAGGAACACCUGAGGCGAAGGCGGGUUGCUAGGCUGACACUGGCGCUGACAGCGCGAAAGCCAGGGGAGCAAACGGG
rnacentral:rRNA from 1 species